UGGCAUUAAUUAAUAUGACUGCUUUAGUUUCUUUCAAUACCUCGGAUGUGUGCUGUUUUCACUUUGAGGUAAGGCUUAUUUGGGUUUAGCUUUUUAUCCUAGAAAGGAUAUUGUAUGUGCGCUAAGUCAGAUUUACUGAGAAUAUUCACAUUUGUCUGGUUUCAUCUGCUGAAUCUAUGUGUGCUUUUGGUAAUUUAUGCAUGCUAUUUUUUUUCCCCUAAGUGAUACUUGAACAUGGGUGAUGGACAAGGGAAAACAUUUUUUGUUAACUGGUUGCUUUUACUUUUUGAGCACAUUUUUUGGUUGCAUUUAGGCUGACAAUUUCGAAAUGUAGAAUUUGAAUGGCUGUCUAAAUGCAAUAAUCACACUUUUAUUUGCCUUUUGUCUUCUUGAAGGGCGGUUGAGAGGUUAGUAAUUAAAUUUCUUUCAAUUUUGCACAAAAGUUGCCAGAACAUAUAUUGAACUGUCUCUUUAGAUAGAUAUGAUAUCCUAAGACAUUGUUAUAUAUGUCUCAAUUUAUACCAUUUUCUCUGUUCUGUUGCCAUGGUUUCUUUUAUUCUUGCAAUACUUUGAACUUUCUAGGCCGGUCCUCACUGCUAAAUAAAGUUGCGUCUAAUAUUUUUUUCUCUUUGGUCUUUUCCUUUAAUGAUAAAUUAGAUGACUGAUGAUCUUUAGUAGGGGAUACAAUACUUCAGAAAUUCAGCACUUAAAAGGAGGAUAAAAGUAAGUGACCACUACUAGUAUGGGAAUGGUACUUUAUAAGCUUAGGCAUCUUAUAAUUUUACGGAUUUGUUGGUAUAUCAUUGUGUUAAUGUUUGAGCAAAUUGCUGAUCUUAGUAUGCCAAACCUGGAUGAGUUUUCUAGGUUUUCAGCUUUUCUCUUUGAAAGAUCUAGUAAGUAAAUGUGCUCAACCUGUGGAAGGUUUAGGGCUCAUUUCUUGAGUAUUUUGCUGACGCAUGUCAAAAGAUUUCGAUUCUGUUUGGUAUGUAGGAUGGAGAAGAGUGAAAAUAUUUCAAUCUAAUGGUUAAGCUACAAAGUAGGGAAAUUAUUAUGAAUCCUAACCAUUUGAUUAACAAAGUUUCCACCCUUACUCUUUGCCAUCCUUGGUACCAAGCAAAGCCAAAAUAAGUUUUUGAAAAAAAAAUGACGGUGAAUAGCUACUGUUGUUGGCUUGUUAUGAAAUCUUUCGACAUUCCACUCUUAUAGUCUGUACAAGCUGUAUAUUGAGGGCGAAGACAGAUGAAGACUAGAAUUCCAAUUUCAAAUAUACUACAUAUCUUAGUUACAGAAAUGCUACUGUAAACAAUUGUCCUUUUGAUGUUUCUGUUGUUUGUGUCGCGGAUCAAAUUCAACUAUUAUCUAAUUUAUCUUGUUUCUCAACCAUGAUGUUUCUGAUGUUGAUACCUCUAAGCCUUUAUGUCUGCUUACACUUGUGCAUGGACACAUGAAUGUUUUCUAAUGUCAUCUGGUAAUUCCCUUUGUUUCUCACUGUCAUAUGCUACCUGUCAUAUGCUACCAACAUUCUGUUACAAUGGUUGUGUUCCAUGUUACUUGGACUCAAGGCGUGUCAGAUACAGGUAUGUCUCCGACAUAAGUAUGAUUAUUUUUUUCCAAGUUUUUUCAUGUAUUUGAAAAGUGUCUUGAAAGUUCAUAUCCCCAUUUUUAUGAUCAGAUGUGCUUUGAACAUGGGUACUUAAUGAAGAGUCGAUCUAAAUAGGAUGUGUUUGCCUACACGUGCACGGACGCAUGACUGUUUUCUAAUGCCAUCUUUCUAGUAAUUCUAAUUUUUGCUCCUUUUCUUUGGUUCUGCGCUAUGCUCUUUGGCUUAUGAGUACUUAAUUGUAUAUUUGUAUUCUUUGUCAUGGUAUUGAUCUCUAGAAAUUGAUUUAUAUAUGAUGGUGAUGUGUUUGAAGUUUGAACUCUUUGGCUUGUGAACAUAGGAUCACUCCUGGAAGUGAGUUCUUUUAUUGCUUUGGCAUUUUUUU
rnacentral:lncRNA from 1 species